rnacentral:lncRNA from 1 species
GAGAUGUAUAGGCGAAUCUAAUAUACAUUAUUGGAAUACAUGUUGUAGACAAUGUAUGUAUAUAAUAAAUGAGAAAUGCCAAUACGAAUUGGCAAUGUCUAUUAAUAUUUUGAUUUUGAGUUUUGAAAAAUGACUUAACAAUUUAUGAUGGAAUGAUGAACACAUCGGACUAAUAGGCUUGCUUGGGCUUAGUGGACUAUGUCCAUUGGGCCCAUGCACCGGUCAUGGCUCGAAAUUUGGGUCGUGACAACAUGUUGUAGACAUUGUAUGUAAAUUUUUAAGGAG